rnacentral:tRNA from 2 species
GCGUCUAUGAUGUCAAUUGGUAGCAUGGUGUCCUUCCAAGUCACUCGUCUCGGUUCGAAUCCGUGUAGACGCUCCA